rnacentral:rRNA from 1 species
AUGGAGACCGGAGGGUCCUCUUCCUCGUCCGGCGGCUCGCCCUGCCUCCGCCCUGUCAAGCCGGAGCCCCAGGACACGCCGAUCAGCGCGCGCACCCGCAGCUCCGGCGGCGCCAACGCCUCUCCACCAACCGGCCGCUUCGUCCUCGCCGAGCCCAAGCCGGAGCCCGUCCUCCCCGCGGAGUACGAGGAGAUAGCCCGGCGCGGCUUCUCCGACGAGGACGCCAUGCGGUGGGCGCGGGACGACUACCUCCGCGACGAGAUGGUCCGGCAGCACCGGGCCCUGGAGGAGAUCGCCGCCCGCAAGCGUGGGCGCGAGGACGAGCACGGCGUCGUGGUCCUCGACAGCGACGACGACGACGACGCCCCCGGACCGUCCAACCCGACGCGCCAACCGGGGGAGGAAUGCAGUAGGGACGGCGGAGGCGGUGACGACGACGACGGCGGUGACUACACGCGGUUCUACCGCCUCCUCGGCAUGUAG